rnacentral:rRNA from 1 species
CAUACCUAUUUGAAGGGAUAGGGUCGGUUUGGCCGGAUUUCACACAGGUGUUGCAUGGCUGUUGUCAGCUCGUGUCGUGAGAUGUUGGGUUAAGUCCCGCAACGAGCGCAACCCUCAUCCUUAGUUACCAUCAGGUUAUGCUGGGGACUUUAAGGAAACUGCCAGUGAUAAACUGGAGGAAGGUGGGGAUGAUGUCAAGUCAUCAUGGCCCUUAUGGAGUGGGCUACACACGUGCUACAAUGGUGAUUACAAUGGGCUGCAAGGUCGCAAGGCUGAGCUAAUCCUAAAAAAUCAUCUCAGUUCGGAUUGUUCUCUGCAACUCGAGAGCAUGAAGUUGGAAUCGCUAGUAAUCGUGGAUCAGCAUGCCACGGUGAAUACGUUCUCGGGUCUUGUACACACUGCCCGUCACGCCAUGGGAAUUGGUUUCACUCGAAGCU